rnacentral:lncRNA from 1 species
UUUCCCUCCCAAUAUUUUCUCCACCAUUUACUCACAUGUACAUGUAUAUUAAAUUGGGGGAUGAAGAUUGUGAAUUCCAACCUUGUUUAGUAGAAAAAGAAAGCAAGGAUUGCAUCUCCAACAAAUUGGCAGUCCACUUCGAUAUGCUUGGUGUGUUCAUUGGAAAAGAUAAGAUUCUUAACAAUGUGCAAUGCUGUUUGACCGUCACAAUAAAGUUGCAUGGCUUACGGGUGAGAAAUGUCAAGACAACUCAGUAUUUAUGAAGUACCGACACAGACAUAAACACAUGGACAUCUAUUAAACACAUCAAACUCAACUCCGACAUGAACACGAACAUGUAGACACCUGUCAAACACAUCAAACUCAAUCAGGACAUGGUGUUGUCUCGGACAUCGGACAUGACAAGGGAUUGGAGUAUUUUUCAACCAUUUUAGUUCACAAGUUGUACGUGGCAUUACAUGCAGUCCAUGUUUGAUUAUUUUCAACGCACAAAUUUCACUUUGCUUCAGUGUAGCUUACUGGCUCAUUUUCCUAUUCAAGAGCUGCAAGAAACGCACGAUGUGCCAAAGAAAAGUGAUCACAAUUCAAAUGAUGUGAAAGAGGAUAGACACCCAAAUGUUCUGAGAUGUUUGAGUGAAGGAGGCUGCACAUGAAGCUUUUAAUUAAUAAGGUGUUUUCCCAAUAUCCAAUAUCACAGAUGGAAAUUUACCUGUCACCUUCUUCUCAAUAUCUGGUUUUUUCAACAGUUAUCGAUCUACGAGUCUUUGCCAUUGAUGAUCAGCAUUUGGGUCAUGCACCUAUUCCUUUUCCUCCUCCUGUACUGCCCCCCGUGGUUGCCACUUGCCUUUUCCACCGAGCUUUCCUUCUCCUCUAGGUCUGUUCUGUUAGAAAAAUUAAAUAAAAAUGAAGGAAAAUAAAUAUGAAGAAGAUGCACAGUCUUGAAUUAAAUAAUAAAAUAACAGUAGCAAAUUAAAUUUAAUUGACAGCACAUGAAUAAUGCAUUAUAACAUACAAUAAGCACUAGAAAAAAAUAAAUUAGGAGAAAAAAGAUAUAGUCUGGGAUGAAGCGCGUAAACGCUAUCCUUAGAGAGAAAACGCCCCCACUGCACGGGUAAGAAAUUCUGAUUGCGCUC